AGAUUGAACGCUGGCGGCAUGCCUUACACAUGCAAGUCGAACGGCAGCACGGGAGCAAUCCUGGUGGCGAGUGGCGAACGGGUGAGUAAUACAUCGGAACGUGCCCAGUAAUGGGGGAUAGCCCGGCGAAAGCCGGAUUAAUACCGCAUACGACCUAUGGGUGAAAGCGGGGGAUCGCAAGACCUCGCGUUGUUGGAGCGGCCGAUGUCAGAUUAGCUUGUUGGUGGGGUAAAAGCCCACCAAGGCGACGAUCUGUAGCUGGUCUGAGAGGACGACCAGCCACACUGGGACUGAGACACGGCCCAGACUCCUACGGGAGGCAGCAGUGGGAAUUUUGGACAAUGGGCGCAAGCCUGAUCCAGCCAUGCCGCGUGUGGAAGAAGGCCUGGUUGUAACACUUUGUCAGGAAGAAACGGCCUAGAUAAUAACUCUAGCUAAUGACGGUACCUGGAGAAUAAAGACGACCGGCUAACUACGUAGCCAGCAGCCG
rnacentral:rRNA from 1 species